GAUGAACGCUGGCGGCGUGCCUAAUACAUGCAAGUCGAGCGAACCACUUCGGUGGUGAGCGGCGAACGGGUGAGUAACACGUAGGUGAUCUGCCCAUCAGACGGGGACAACGAUUGGAAACGAUCGCUAAUACCGGAUAGGACGAAAGUUUAAAGGUGCUUCUGGCACCGCUGAUGGAUGAGCCUGCGGCGCAUUAGCUAGUUGGUAGGGUAAAGGCCUACCAAGGCGACGAUGCGUAGCCGACCUGAGAGGGUGAACGGCCACACUGGGACUGAGACACGGCCCAGACUCCUACGGGAGGCAGCAGUAGGGAAUCUUCGGCAAUGGGCGAAAGCCUGACCGAGCAACGCCGCGUGAAUGAUGAAGGCCUGGUGUAAUCUGUAUAGGAAGAACGACUUAGUAAGAAAUAGGACUAGAGU
rnacentral:rRNA from 1 species